UACGUAGGGUGCAAGCGUUAAUCGGAAUUACUGGGCGUAAAGCGUGCGUAGGCGGUUAUCUAAGUCGGAUGUGAAAGCCCCGGGCUCAACCUGGGAAUUGCAUUCGAGACUGAAUAGCUAGGGUGCGGUAGAGGGAAGCGGAAUUUCCGGUGUAGCGGUGAAAUGCGUAGAUAUCGGAAGGAACAUCAGUGGCGAAAGCGGCUUCCUGGACCAGCACCGACGUUCAGGCACGAAAGCGUGGGGAGCAAACAGG
rnacentral:rRNA from 1 species